CCUACGGGAGGCAGCAGUGAGGAAUAUUGGUCAAUGGACGAGAGUCUGAACCAGCCAAGUAGCGUGAAGGAUGACUGCCCUAUGGGUUGUAAACUUCUUUUAUAUGGGAAUAAAAUGUUCCACGUGUGGGAUUUUGUAUGUACCAUAUGAAUAAGGAUCGGCUAACUCCGUGCCAGCAGCCGCGGUAAUACGGAGGAUCCGAGCGUUAUCCGGGUUUAUUGGGUUUAAAGGGAGCGUAGGUGGAUUGUUAAGUCAGUUGUGAAAGUUUGCGGCUCAACCGUAAAAUUGCAGUUGAAACUGGCAGUCUUGAGUGCAGUAGAGGUGGGCGGAAUUCGUGGUGUAGCGGUGAAAUGCUUAGAUAUCACGAAGAACUCCGAUUGCGAAGGCAGUUCACUGGACUGCAACUGACACUGAGGCUCGAAAGUGUGGGUAUCAAACAGGAUUAGAUACCCUAGUAGUC
rnacentral:rRNA from 1 species